rnacentral:lncRNA from 1 species
AAGCCAAGACAACUUAAUUGAGUUCAUUUAAUGUGUCAUGACUGAUUGUUAAUGGUUGAUUGUAGGUGUCCAUUCAACUGGAAUCAGCUUGGUUCAUGGACAGCAUUAAAUGGAAGAAAAUGCAUCCCUUAAAUUCAGCAGCUCAUUUCUCUUCCCAAGGGUCUGUCCGUGCAUUGCAAUGGACAAAGGAGUGUUCACACAUGGCCAUUCAGCUCACAUAUUCUUUUCACACUUGGUGGCUGUUCAAAACCAUCCUUUCACACCUUGUGACCGAUUGAAUCCAAGUUCACACCCAAGGGCUGUUUGUGUGCCCAAAAAUGCCAUCAACGCAUGCUGCUGUCCAUUUGGCUUUUCAAGGCUGAUUUAUUGAAGCAAAUUAAGGUUUGAGCUGUUCCAUCAAUGAACUCUUCCAGAUUAAGUAAUUAGCUCAAUUAUCAGCUGAAUUGGAGCAUUUAAGCUGCUGCCUAUUGCUGAUCCCAAGUCCUAGAGUUCUCCAAUGGAUUGAACUUACUUGUUAAGUUAGUUUAGCUUAUUAAAUAGUUCAUUUAAGCUGGGUUUUUUUUUGUCUAUUCGGCUGAGUCUCUUUGGACUAUAAAUAGGUUGUAAACAACUUGUUUUAGGAACUUUUUGUCAAAUUGAUAUUAUAUUGAAUAUUUGUGAGAUUUCUUCUCUCAAUUUCGUCCAAAGACUCCUUUGGCUUAUCUACUUGGUUAGUGGCGUCAACCCUGUUCUUUGCAAAUUGAACUUAUCACUUUGUACUGAAAUGUGGCGUUCAACUAAUACCGAGGUUCCUAUCUCUGAUAGAUAGUGGGUCGAUGUUCUUCAACAUCGUCCAUUUUUCACCUUAAGAACAUAUAAGAUUCGGGUCAACACUUACUCUUAGUGUUGGUUCUUUCUUGUUUUUAAGCCUUUCAACCCAUUUUCCAUUAAAACAGAAUUGUUAUUUUUCUGAAGCUAAACCUUUUCUUUCGUACUCGAACCUUAGCACAUAAUCAACUCCCUUGAACCUAAUUUGAACCACAAAUAACUUCCUAAAAACAAAAAUACUUCUUCUUGACGCAAGACGAACGAAACUUCUUCGUUAGACGAUCGGGCAACAAAAGCGACUCAACUCAAUCAAAUGAGGCUAGUUUGCAUCAGUUGGUAUCAGAGCUACCCAAAACAAGAAGUUCAGACGUUCGAAACAACUCUGGAGUAGGUUUGUAAAAAAACUUCGAAAAAAAAUUUCAUAAAUCCAAGGUCUUGUAUUGAAAUUAGCUUGCCUAUUUCGAUUAUAUUGUAAAAAAUACGAAGUUAAAAAAAGAGAAGAAAGAAAAGAGAUCUUUGCAAAAGUGUAUGUUGGUUGAAUUCCCGAUCAGCGAAAUCCCCUUUAAAAUUUUUAUUCAUCCUUUCACGCCACACCACAAACCCAUUUCUCAUUUUUCUUUCAAGCUUACCUAUCACCAUUAUAUCUACCUUCCUUUGUAACUCAUUGAAGCCGACCCUCUAAACUAAAGAUUAAGCCUUACCAAGUCUUAUACGAAAUUACAAGAGGAGAAACGAGAGGAAAAAGGCACAAGUGUGUGAGCACAUCUGAGAGGAGGUAAAAGCCAAAAGAGUGUAAACACGAGUGUGAGUGUCAUUCUUUCUUUCUUUUCGAGUGAACGUGAGGUCUUGUGGUGAGGAAUUAAUACUAUGUCACGAAGUCCCGAACGAACCAUGGCGAAAAGACACGAGAGGUAACCGGUAAGAAAUGUCGCACCCGGAGGAGGUGGAGUUCCCGACUUAGGCCAACAAGCUCUCUUGCGAGAAUUUCAGUGAAUGCUUCGAAACAAGCUUGAAUCUAUCCAUGAAAGGCUAGAACAAGUUGAAGAGAGGGAACAACAAGAAAGAACCCCUCAAGGUCCAAGAUGGGAACGAGGGCAAGCAAGACUCUAUGAUGAUGACCUCUACGAACCAAGUGAGGUGGAAAGUGACCAAGCGUCAAACUAAAGAGAAAGACGACGGGGUCAAAGGAAUCGAGGUCCUAGAGAACGAGGCCAAGUUGAUGAUGAUUUAAAGAAUAUCAAGCUAUCUAUUCCCCCAUUUCAAGGGAAAUCUAACCCGGAGGCAUACCUAGAAUGGGAGAAGAAAAUCAAGUUGGUCUUCGAGUGUCACAACUACUAGGAGAGCAAAAAGGUGAAGUUGGCAGCAAUUGAGUUUUUCGACUAUGCUAUGAUAUGGUGGGACCAACUUACCACAAGUCGGAGAAGGAACGGAGAGCGGUCAAUCUCUAUUUCGGCUGAAAUGAAGACCGUAAUACGUAAGAGAUUUAUACCUUCUUAUUAUCAUCAUGAACUUUAUCAAAAAUUGGAAUCUUACGCAAGGAAAUCGGAGUGUGGAGGAUUACUUUAAAGAAAUAGAGAUUGCCAUGAUACGUGCGGACGUGGAAGAAGAUCGUGAGGCAACCAUGGCCAGAUUUUUAGCCGACCUUAAUCGCGACAUUGCUAAUGUGGUGGAGCUUCAGCAUUAUGUUGAAAUAGUUGACAUGGUGCAUGUUGCCAUAAAAGGGGAAAAGCAAUUAAAGAGAAAGGGCUUCAGCCGAUCCUUUACAAACACAACCAACAAUACGAAAUGGAGUCAAGGCACGCGUAAAGAAGAUCUAUCAAACUGCGGAGAGACCAAGUGGUGCCAGCAAAGCCUAGCAAGCCCCUUGGUGAAACUAGCAAAGGCAAGGAAGUGGCUUUCCCAAACCGAUCAAGGGAUAUCAAAUGUUUCAAAUGUUUAGGAAGAAGGCACAUUGCUAGCCAAUGCCCUAAUCGGAGCAAUAUAUUUGUGAGAUCCAACGGUGACAUCAAAUCAGAAGAAAAAGAAGAAAAAAAUGACAAUGAGGCUGAUGUUUCUAUGGAUGAAGAUGAAGAGUUGGAAUAUGCGGUUGAAGGUGAGAUGCUUAUUGUUAAAAGGAGCCUAAGUGCACAAAGCGCUGAAAGUGAACCGCAACGUGAAAACCUGUUUCAUACCGUUGUCAUGUUCAAGGUAAGGUUUGUAGUUUGGUGAUUGAUGGAGGUAGCUGUACAAACAUGGCAAGCACACUCAUGGUAGAAAAACUUGCUUUACCGACCACCAAACAUCCAAGUCCAUAUAAUCUACAAUGGCUCAAUGAAGGUGUCGAGUUAAGGUUAAAUAAACAAGCCCUGGUUGUGUUUUCGAUUGGGAAAUAUCAUGAUGAAGUUUUAUGUGAUGUGGUACCCAUGCACGCAGGGCACUUAUUACUUGGAAGACCAUGGCAGUUUGAUCAGAGGGUCAAGCAUGACGGGUUUGCCAACCAAUACUCCUUCAAGUACCAAGGCCGAAACGUUAUUUUGGCACCUUUAUCACCAAAGUAAGUGAUGGUAGACCAGCAAAGAUUGAAAAAGUCUGUGGAAAAAUUUAGAGAAAAGAACAUUGAAAAAGAAAUUGAAAGAAAUGAAAAUGAAAAAGAUGAAAAUGAGAUUUCAAAAACAAAAAAAAAGUGAAAAACAAAGAAAGAUUGAGAAUGAAAAAGAAAAAGAAAGUGAAAGAAAAGUGAGUGAGAAAAAUGUUUUGAUUAACCGUUGUCUUCAUGCCUCUUCAUCAUUUCAAGUUAACAAGAGCAAGGAGUUUCGAUUACAAUAUAUUUCUAAGGAGAGGAGGUUUGUGUUGAACGAAAAAGGUACAACCGACUCUUGUCUUCUUACUCUUAAAGGUAAACAAGCAAUGGCUUUGGAAAAUCUUAAGACGUCUAUGAUUUAUUCGCAUGUUGAUGAUAACUCUGUUGAUGCUUUGGACUUUGGAAAAUAUUUUUAUUUUGAUGUAAUUGAUUAUUCUUCUUUGAUUAGCAAUGAAGAGUUUGUCUUAAACAAUGAUUGCUAGAAUCUUGUUAAUACAAAUUGCGAUGUAGCUCAGCAAGCAAGUGAUUUCCUAACCUCUCGUCAUUUGCACAUUUUGAAUCCACAAGACGAAAAUCCAUAUAAAUUUUUCUUUCUGAUUGAUCGUAAUGAGAGGACAUUGAAGCGGAUUAUUGAGUCUGAUUGUGUGUAAACCUAUAUGAUUGAUUAUUGUUUUAACCGAUUGAGUUUACCUGGUUGUAAUGAUGGCAUAUCAAAACUGUUGGUCAAUUUGAGGCAUGCAAGUUGUGAACAAAUGAAACUAAGGGUUCAUGAACGAUUGAAUAAGUUUUUCAUGAUUUGUGGCUACAAUUUGAGCUUGAACCUUUUGCAUUUUCUACUGCCGAAAAAAGGGAGUCCAUUUGAGAAGCUAAGACUCGUAUACAUUCUUGAGUUCGGUAAUAUUUUAUUUGUUCAAGAUUGGAUUGAGAAUUUAGAAAGCGUUUGUAAGUUUUUAAAUCAUCAUGUGUUUAAUCCUUGUUUUUAUUGUGUAGGAGACACCUUGACGUGGUACCCUCCAAAAGAGGGAGGGCAAGUAACUAACGAGUGUUUGUUCCAAAUUAUACAUGAAUUUCAGGUUGCUUGGCACACAUUUGUCAAAUUCAUCAACAAAGGGGGCUGUGACGGUGGAAGAUUUUUCACAAGCCAAUGGCCUGAUUUGAGGACAAAUCGCUUUAAAGAGGGGGGAUGAUAUGACCAUGCCCCGAGCACCCCCUUGGACCAGCUCUUUAAGUGUUGCUCAUAAUCAUUUGCGAGUUGAAUUAGUUCAAUUCCAGCUGGUUGAGCCCAAUCUCAAUAAACUCAUUUUCGUUUUCUUUAGUUGUGCAUUUUAUUUUGCUGGAAUAAAUUUUAGUUAAUUUAGUUUAAGCUAAUUAAUUAAUUUAACUAAGUGUUAAUUGUGUCUUUAAGUCAUUUAAUGUGUCUUACUAUUUUCGGCAUUAAUAAGUUAAGUUAAUUAAUUUGUCUAAAUUACUACAGGAAUUUAAGUUGUCUUAAGCUAAUUUAAUUUGUCUUUGUUCUACAGCCAUUUAAAAUGUCUUAAGCCAAGACAACUUAAUUGAGUUCAUUUAAUGUGUCAUGACAGAUUGUUAAUGGUUGAUUGUAGGUGUCCAUUCAACUGGAAUUAGCUUGGUUCAUGGACAGCAUUAAAUGGAAGAAAAUGCAUUCCUUAAAUUCAGCAGCUCAUUUCUCUUCCCAAGGGUCUGUUCGUGCAUUGCAAUGGACAAAGGAGUGUUCACACAUGGCCAUUCAGCUCACAUAUUCUUUUCACACUUGGUGGCUGUUCAAAACCAUCCUUUCACACUUUGUGACCGAUUGAAUCCAAGUUCACACCCAAGGGCUGUUUGUGUGCCCAAAAAUGCCAUCAAUGCAUGCUGCUGUCCAUUUGGCUUUUCAAGGCUGAUUUAUUGAAGCAAAUUAAGGUUUUGAGCUGUUCCAUCAAUGAACUCUUCCAGAUUAAGUAAUUAGCUCAAUUAUCAGCUGAAUUGGAGCAUUUAAGCUGCUGCCUAUUGCUGAUCCCAAGUCCUAGAGUUCUCCAAUGGAUUGAACUUACUUGUUAAGUUAGUUUAGCUUAUUAAAUAGUUCAUUUAAGCUGGGUUUUUUUUUGUCUAUUCGGCUGAGUCUCUUUGGACUAUAAAUAGGUUGUAAACAACUUGUUUUAGGAACUUUUUGUCAGAUUGAUAUUAUAUUGAAUAUUUGUGAGAUUUCUUCUCUCA